rnacentral:rRNA from 1 species
UACGGAGGGUGCAAGCGUUAUCCGGAUUUACUGGGUUUAAAGGGUGUGUAGGCGGACCAUUAAGUCAGCGUGAAAUCUCCGGGCUCAACCCGGAAACUGCCAUUGAUACUAUUGGUCUUGAAUGUUGUUGAGGUGGGCGGAACGGGUCAUGUAGCGGUGAAAUGCAUAGAUAUGACCCGGAACACCGAUUGCGAAGGCAGCC